GCUCGAGUGGCGAACGGGUGAGUAACACGUGAGUAACCUGCCCUUGACUUUGGGAUAACUUCAGGAAACUGGGGCUAAUACCGGAUAGGAGCUCCUGCUGCAUGGUGGGGGUUGGAAAGUUUCAGCGGUUGGGGAUGGACUCGCGGCUUAUCAGCUUGUUGGUGGGGUAGUGGCUUACCAAGGCUUUGACGGGUAGCCGGCCUGAGAGGGUGACCGGCCACAUUGGGACUGAGAUACGGCCCAG
rnacentral:rRNA from 1 species